UGAGGAAUAUUGGACAAUGGGCGCAAGCCUGAUCCAGCAAUGCCGCGUGCAGGAUGAAGGCCUUCGGGUUGUAAACUGCUUUUGUACGGAGCGAAAAGGUCUGCCCUAAUACGGUGGGCUCAUGACGGUACCGUAAGAAUAAGCACCGGCUAACUACGUGCCAGCAGCCGCGGUAAUACGUAGGGUGCGAGCGUUAAUCGGAAUUACUGGGCGUAAAGCGUGCGCAGGCGGUUAUAUAAGACAGAUGUGAAAUCCCCGGGCUCAACCUGGGACCUGCAUUUGUGACUGUAUAGCUAGAGUACGGUAGAGGGGGAUGGAAUUCCGCGUGUAGCAGUGAAAUGCGUAGAUAUGAGGAGGAACACCGAUGGCGAAGGCAAUCCCCUGGGCCUGCACUGACGCUCAUGCACGAAAGCGUGGGGAGCAAACA
rnacentral:rRNA from 1 species